rnacentral:rRNA from 1 species
AGUGAACGCUGGCGGCAGGCCUAACACAUGCAAGUCGAACGGCAGCACAGUGGAGCUUGCUCCAUGGGUGGCGAGUGGCGGACGGGUGAGGAAUACAUCGGAAUCUGCCCAGUCGUGGGGGAUAACAUAGGGAAACUUAUGCUAAUACCGCAUACGACCUACGGGUGAAAGCGGGGGAUCGCAAGACCUCGCGCGAUUGGAUGAGCCGAUGUCCGAUUAGCUAGUUGGCGGGGUAAUGGCCCACCAAGGCGACGAACGGUAGCUGGUCUGAGAGGAUGAUCAGCCACACUGGAACUGAGACACGGUCCAGACUCCUACGGGAGGCAGCAGUGGGGAAUAUUGGACAAUGGGCGCAAGCCUGAUCCAGCCAUGCCGCGUGGGUGAAGAAGGCCUUCGGGUUGUAAAGCCCUUUUGUCCGGAAAGAAACGCCUCGGAUUAAUACUCUGGGGUAAUGACGGUACCGGAAGAAUAAGCACCGGCUAACUUCGUGCCAGCAGCCGCCGUAAAAC